UUGAACGCUGGCGGCAGGCCUAACACAUGCCAGUCGAACGGUAACAGGAAGAAGCUUGCUUCUUUGCUGACGAGUGGCGGACGGGUGAGUAAUGUCUGGGAAACUGCCUGAUGGAGGGGGAUAACUACUGGAAACGGUAGCUAAUACCGCAUAACGUCGCAAGACCAAAGAGGGGGACCUUCGGGCCUCUUGCCAUCGGAUGUGCCCAGAUGGGAUUAGCUAGUAGGUGGGGUAACGGCUCACCUAGGCGACGAUCCCUAGCUGGUCUGAGAGGAUGACCAGCCACACUGGAACUGAGACACGGUCCAGACUCCUACGGGAGGCAGCAGUGGGGAAUAUUGCACAAUGGGCGCAAGCCUGAUGCAGCCAUGCCGCGUGUAUGAAGAAGGCCUUCGGGUUGUAAAGUACUUUCAGCGGGGAGGAAGGGAGUAAAGUUAAUACCUUUACUCAUUGACGUUACCCGCAGAAGAAGCACCGGCUAACUCCGUG
rnacentral:rRNA from 1 species